rnacentral:rRNA from 1 species
UACGUAGGGUGCGAGCGUUGUCCGGAAUUAUUGGGCGUAAAGAGCUUGUAGGCGGUUUGUCGCGUCUGCUGUGAAAAUCCGAGGCUCAACCUCGGACUUGCAGUGGGUACGGGCAGACUAGAGUGUGGUAGGGGAGACUGGAAUUCCUGGUGUAGCGGUGGAAUGCGCAGAUAUCAGGAGGAACACCGAUGGCGAAGGCAGGUCUCUGGGCCAUUACUGACGCUGAGGAGCGGAAAGCAUGGGGAGCGAACAGG